GAUGAACGCUGGCGGCGUGCUUAACACAUGCAAGUCGAACGAAGCACCUUGAUUCGAUUCUUCGGAUGAAGAUCUUGGUGACUGAGUGGCGGACGGGUGAGUAACGCGUGGGUAACCUGCCUCAUACAGGGGGAUAACAGUUAGAAAUGACUGCUAAUACCGCAUACGACCACAGCACCGCAUGGUGCAGGGGUAAAAACUCCGGUGGUAUGAGAUGGACCCGCGUCUGAUUAGGUAGUUGGUGGGGUAACGGCCUACCAAGCCGACGAUCAGUAGCCGACCUGGGAGGGUGACCGGCAACAUUGGGACUGAGACACGGCCCAAACUCCUACGGGAGGCAGCAGUGGGGAAUAUUGCACAAUGGGGGAAACCCGGAUGCAGCGACGCCGCGUGAGCGAUGAAGUAUUUCGGUAUGUAAAGCUCUAUCAGCAGGGAAGAAAAUGACGGUACCUGACUAAGAAGCACCGGCUAAAUACGU
rnacentral:rRNA from 1 species